UUUCCGUAAGUGAACCUGCGGAAGGAUCAUUCAUAAUCAAGUGUUUUAUGGCACUUUUUAAAAAUCCAUAUCCACCUUGUGUGCAAUGUUAGAUCUCGUCAAUCUUGGCGAGAUUUUUAUACAUCAACUCAUUCUUUAACUAAUUUGUCUGAAAAAUAUUAUGUAUACUUAAUUCAAAAUACAACUUUCAACAACGGAUCUCUUGGUUCUC
rnacentral:misc_RNA from 1 species